UCACAAAAAGAGCUCACAAAAAGCAACCAAGUGUAGGAGGCCUAAACCUCUUGUUAAACACAUGCAUCAAAAGGGUAUCAAAAUUCAAAGUCAGGGGCAAGGAUCCACACAUCAAGACAUGACAUACAUACUAAAACAUGUGCCCACAUGCAAAACCUAACGAUAAUACCUCAUACAUUCAGAGCAUUUAAAUUGAAAGCAUAGAGUAAUGGAAAUAGGGCAAACCUGAUUGGAGAGAUCGAAUGAAAUUGAAUUUCCCGGUUGGGUUUGCA
rnacentral:lncRNA from 1 species